rfam:Mustela putorius furo unplaced genomic scaffold scaffold00045, whole genome shotgun sequence.
ACUGUGGCCCUUUUCAGGGCCAAACAAUAUUGUAAUAUCUAAAAUAU